UCUCUCUCUUCGACAACACUCUUCUUCUCUGACGAAAAAUCUCACCAGAGGUCCAGAAACCUCCAGUUCUUCCCAUCAAACCAAUUCGUCGGUCAUACAACGAAGCCGCGGAAGGUUUCUAGGUGCUGUUUUCAGUUUUUGCUUUGGAUAGGUGCUGUUUUCAGAUUUUGUGCAUCUUAUUUUCGAAGUGAUUCAUCGAUGCUUUGCACAUGUUCAAAUGAACAAGAGGAACAUAAAGGCAAAGAAGAACAGGCAGGUGACAAUUACCAACGAUGAAGAAGACGGUAAUGCCAUCGGGCUCAACAGACGGAGCUCCUUCAAGCUUGAGUCCAACAGAGGUUGCACCUCUCAACUUGAGUGGCAAAUGAAGAGCUAGAAGGAACAUCCACUGAUUCCCAAAGCCUCUAUGCAAGGGUGAGUGUAUAGCCCAUACACUACAAAUGUUGUUUAGUUGACUUAAAUUGGUUAUUGUAAUUGACUCAAAUUUGUUACAAGGUUUCAGGAGACUCUGGUUUUUUUUGGAUUUUAAGACAGAAAUAGUGAAUUUAAUUA